GUCCAGAACUAUUUGAUGUUUGAAAUAAUAUCUGUAGUUUCUAGCUGCAGUUUCAAUCCCAUUGAUUCCUUCGUAUGGUUUGAACUAUAUGGAUCUCCAUCUGACCGUGAUGUUGACAUCAUUGGUAGUGUUAUUCAGUCAUGGUAUGUCAUGGGACGUUUGGGAGCAUUUAACUCUUCUAAUUUGUAGUUGGCAAAUACAUCCAUGGAGUAUAAUCCUCUCUAUGAUGCAGAUAAAGGAUUCAAAGUGAUGCCAUCAUCAUUCCACGAUAUUUGUGAUGUGGAAUUUUAGGAGAACUGGGGCCGGGUUUGGGUAGACCUUGGGACAUCUGAUUUCUUUGCAGUUGAUGUACUCCUCAAUUGCUUAACUGUAUUGAGCUCUGAAUAUAUAGGUAUUCAACAGGUGGUUUUUGGUGGUCGGUGCAUGGGUGAUUGGGAAGAAGGUAUGACGAGUCCUGAGUUCGGAUACAAGUACUUUAAGAACUGAAGUGAGAAUGGAUGUAGAUUUAUUUACUUUUUCCAAGCCUAUGUGUAUGUGGG